rnacentral:rRNA from 1 species
UACGUAGGGUGCGAGCGUUAAUCGGAAUUACUGGGCGUAAAGCGUGCGCAGGCGGCGCGUCAAGACAGGUGUGAAAGCCCCGAGCUUAACUUGGGAAUUGCGCUUGUGACUGGCGUGCUGGAGUGUGGCAGAGGGAGGUGGAAUUCCACGUGUAGCAGUGAAAUGCGUAGAGAUGUGGAGGAACACCGAUGGCGAAGGCAGCCUCCUGGGCCAGCACUGACGCUCAUGCACGAAAGCGUGGGGAGCAAACAGG